rnacentral:ncRNA from 19 species
UGGUGAAUUCUUAUUAUAGGCCCUAAACCGUAUAAUUUGCCAGCACGGGUGAACGGGAAGUCCGGUGAGAGUCCGGCGCUGUCCCCGCAACCGUGAGCAGGUAUAAAACGGGGUUUAACCACUGGGAAGGGUAGGUGAUAAGCCGCCUUCCCGGGAAGGUUAAGCCCUUUAAAGGCCUGCGAGCCGGGAGACCGGCCCGUGCAAUCUGCCUACUG